CGUGUCUAUCGUACCUUGUUGCUUCGGCGGGCCCGCCGCCUUCGACGGCCGCCGGGGAGGCCUUGCGCCCCCGGGCCCGCGCCCGCCGAAGACCCCAACAUGAACGCUGUUCUGAAAGUAUGCAGUCUGAGUUGAUUAUCGUAAUCAGUUAAAACUUUCAACAACGGAUCUCUUGGUUCCGGCAUCGAUGAAGAACGCAGCGAAAUGCGAUAAGUAAUGUGAAUUGCAGAAUUCAGUGAAUCAUCGAGUCUUUGAACGCACAUUGCGCCCCCUGGUAUUCCGGGGGGCAUGCCUGUCCGAGCGUCAUUGCUGCCCUCAAGCACGGCUUGUGUGUUGGGCCCCCGUCCCCCUCUCCCGGGGGACGGGCCCGAAAGGCAGCGGCGGCACCGCGUCCGGUCCUCGAGCGUAUGGGGCUUUGUCACCUGCUCUGUAGGCCCGGCCGGCGCCAGCCGACACCCAACUUUAUUUUUCUAAGGUUGACCUCGGAUCAGGUAGGGAUACCCGCUGAACUUAAGCAUAUCAAUAAGCUUGAGG
rnacentral:rRNA from 1 species